AAUGAACGUUGGCGGCAUGGAUUAGGCAUGCAAGUCGAGCGAGAAGUGUAGCAAUACACGGAAAGCGGCGGAAGGGAGAGCAAUACGUGGGAAUCUGCCCUUAGACCUGGGAUAGCAGCGGGAAACUGCUGGUAAUACCAGAUAAUGUCUAUGGACCAAAGGUGUGAUUCCGUCUAGGGAUGAGCCCACGUCUCUAUUAGCUAGUUGGUAGGGUAAUGGCCUACCAAGGCGAUGAUGGGUAGCGGGUGUGAGAGCAUGACCCGCCUCACUGGGACUGAGACACUGCCCAGACACCUACGGGUGGCUGCAGUCGAGAAUCUUCGGCAAUGGGCGCAAGCCUGACCGAGCGAUGCCGCGUGCGGGAUGAAGGCCUUCGGGUUGUAAACCGCUGUCGAGGGGGAGCAACUUCCAUAGAGUUAUCUUUAUGGAUUGAGCGAUCCCUGGAGGAAGGACGGGCUAAGUUCGUGCCAGCCGCCGCAGUAAUAC
rnacentral:rRNA from 1 species